rnacentral:rRNA from 1 species
GCACAAGCGGUGGAGCAUGUGGUUUAAUUCGACGCAACGCGAAGAACCUUACCCAGGCUCGAACGGCAGAUGACAUCCUACGAAAGUAGGCUCCCGCAAGGGCAUCUGUCGAGGUGCUGCAUGGCUGUCGUCAGCUCGUGUCGUGAGAUGUUGGGUUAAGUCCCGCAACGAGCGCAACCCUUGUCUUCUGUUGCCAUCGGGUCAAGCCGGGCACUCUGAAGAGACUGCCGGUGACAAACCGGAGGAAGGUGGGGAUGACGUCAAGUCAGCAUGGCCUUUAUGUCUGGGGCAACACACGUGCUACAAUGGCCGGUACAAACCGUCGCGAGCCCGCGAGGGGGAGCUAAUCGGAGAAAGCCGGUCUCAGUUCGGAUUGUAGGCUGCAACUCGCCUGCAUGAAGUUGGAAUCGCUAGUAAUCGCGGAUCAGCACGCCGCGGUGAAUACGUUCCC